rnacentral:rRNA from 1 species
UACGGAGGGUGCGAGCGUUGUCCGGAAUCAUUGGGCGUAAAGGGCGCGUAGGCGGCCUGAUAAGUAGGGGGUGAAAUCCUGCGGCUUAACCGCAGGGCUGCCUUCUAAACUGUCAGGCUAGAGCACAGUAGAGGCAGGUGGAAUUCCCGGUGUAGCGGUGGAAUGCGUAGAGAUCCGGAAGAACACCGGAGGCGAAGGCGGCUCGCUGGGCCUGAUCUGACGCUGAGGCGCGAAGGCGUGGGGAGCGAACAGG